GCUGCUUCUCUGUGUUCACUGGGAGCUCCGCCUUUCUCAGCGCCCGUCUCCGGCUGAAUCCCCAGUGUCCUUCAUCUUAUCGGUGUUCGCCGGGAUCUGGAUUCACAUAAAUUAGGUAUUUCCCUAUCAUUUAUCCGAAUCGUUUCGUUAGGUAGGCUGUAAACUGAAAGAAAAUGUCUGAUUGGUCGGAACUUCAUCGUGAUCUUCUGGUUCUAGUUGUUAGGCAUAUUAAUUUGAUUGAAGAUUAUCUCAAUUUUGGUACUGUUUGCAAAUCCUGGCACUCUGUGGCCACCAAGGACAAUUUUAAUAGUGAAUUGGUUAGGGUUCCAUGGCUAAUGUUAGCUGAAGAAGAGGAUGAUGACACAUGUAGAAAAUUCUUCAGUCUAAGUAAUGGGAUGAUUUUAAAGAAGAGUAUUCCUGGAGCCAGGGGAAAACGGUGUGUGGAGUCUAUGGGAUGGCUUGUAACAGUCGGAAAAGAGGAGAGUGAAAUCAAUAUGUUACAUCCCUUUUCCGGUGUUAAAAUACAGUUGCCACAUCGAAUUCACAUCCCAUUGCCAUAUCCAGUUAAUAACGAUUAUUAUAGACUCAAUGACAAUUUUGUAUCAUGGGUUUCUAUCCAUAAAGCAGUUUUGUCAGCUAAUCCUUCUCAUACAUCUGACUACAUUCUCAUGAUCAUCGAGGGAGACUUCAGUUUCCUCUGUUUAUGGAGACCAGGUGAUUUAUCAUGGACCAGACUACCGGGCUACAAUGGACAAAUUACUGAUGUAGUAUGUUUCAAUGGCAACUUUUAUGCAAUCAAUUAUAAGGGUUGUAUCCUAGUUUGUGAUGUUGCUGGCUCUAAACCCGGUAAAAAUCAUAUGAUAGCGCAGCUAGAACCAUGUAUUGAUGGUAUUUAUUACAUCCUAGAAUCACUAGGAUCAUUAUUUGUAGCUGUGCAACAAUUUGUUUAUAUAAGGUACGUCACAGAUGAUCGCGGGCGGAUUCCAUUGACACACAUCCCAGGUGAAGAUGAUGAUGAGGAGAAUAUUUCCUACACUUACCGGACAAAAACAUUUCUAGUUUACAAGUUCGAUUUAGAUAAUUGCAAAGCUACGCAAACUAGGGAUUUAGGGGACAGAGCUUUUUUCCUGGGUCCUAAUGCUUCUCUUUCGGUUCAAGCUUCUCAAUUUCCGGGAAUCAAGCCCAAUCAUAUUUAUUUUACAGAUAAUUGUUUGAAUGCAUACCUCCAGUUUGAAGGAGGAGUCGGCUUGGACAUGGGGGUGUUCAACUUAGCAGAUGAAAGUAUCCAGCCACAUUAUGACGGUGUUUCCCUCAGUCGUGUUUGUCCUCCAAUUUGGGUCACACCAAAUCUGUGUUGAACAUCCAUUGAUCCAUCAAAUCCAGUUACAUCUGCUGAUGUUCAUAAGAUUGUUGAGAAUCUUGCCCAGAAGCGUAGGCCUAUGACUCAAGUUACUUUGGAUGUUCAAGAAUGUAACAGAAUUUCUACUACACAUCUAGUUGUAUCUGCAAUUGUUUCAUCGGGGAUUUUGGAUUCAUGGUGGAUUUUAGAUUUUCUGGUGGGGAACGAUGUGGAAGAGGAAGGUGAGCUUGUUUCAUGUGGUGGAUGACUCGUUGGCAUUGGCAAAGAAAGACAAUGGAAGCUUAAAUGGUGGAAACAACAUGACGCCUUUGAUCGACAAGUGGUACAAAAAGCCUUACUUCAGAGAUUCAAUGAGAUUUUGUAGAAGAAGAAGACUCUUCCUGUAUGGCAUCAAAAAGAGGAGUUCUUAAGCUGAUGAAUAUCCAAUCACCGGCAAUGCCGUCUCUAUCACCGGCUAUAGUCACCAGGGAAUUAACGGGGGGAAAUUGCUCAGCCGCAGAGGGUUGUUAAAACUCUAGACUUCAGAAUGGGAAGAGGUGCCUUCAAAGCAUCUAUUGUUUCUUUCUGUCCAUACACCAAAAAAUGCAAGCUGGGAUCAUCUUCCAUACUUUCCUGAUGGGUUUUCCGACCUUCCACGAGCUCCAACCAGUGCAUCUUUAAUGCUACUUGUCAUAGCCCAUUUUAGACCAAAAACUGAGAUGAACAUGUUCCAUAUGCCUGUGGCUGCUGUACAAUGCAGAAGGUGUCUGUUAGUCUCUAGGGCCUGGUGACACAUGAAGAAUCUGUUGACAAUGUGGAUUUUUCUCCUGAUGAUGUUGUCUUGGGUGAGGGAAGCUUCAUGAAGGGCUAGCCAGCUAAAACAAAUCACCUUGGGGGGUAACUUGGUUUUCCAGAUUAACUUCCAUGGCCAAUUAAUUAGCAUUUCAUUUUGAGCACAUAGUGAAAUAGUAUGCUGCCUUCACAGAAUAUUUACCAACUGCUUUAUCCCCCCAAAUGAGUCUGUCAGGUGAUUGAUUAUUGAUCUGGACAACUCCUAUUCUCUCCAGUAAGCUGAGAAUGUCUUGUAGUUCCCAAUCUUGGUAGUUCCUCCUGAAUUGAGGGAUCCAGGCAUUUGGAGAAGAGGAAGACUCUUCCGGUAUGGCAUCAAAAGAGUUCUCAAGCUGAUCAAUAUCCAAUCAUUGGCAACGCCGUCUCCGUCACCGGCUGUUGUCUCCAGCAUACGUGUCUUUCUUUGGUGGAUUUGGUAAUAAUUAUGUUGGAGUACAAAUUGGAGGACAAGAAUAUGUACGUGGGAGACUACUCGUUAUUGCUCAUUUAGCAGCGUCAUUUCUCUUAGAAUUGUUUGUUUUUUCGCGGCUGCUGAUAUGUUGAAGUCUUAAAUUUCAAUAGAUAACAGGGGAUGUAGCUCAAAUGGUAGAGCGCUCGCUUUGCAUGCGAGAGGUACGGGGUUCGAUCCCCCGCAUCUCCAUUAACUUUCGUUUUGUCUCUUCACGAGGUAGGGGUAAGGUCUGGGUACACUUUACCUUCUCUAGAUCCUAUUCAUGGAAUUUUACUGGAUAUGUACACAUGGGUCUCUUGUACUGGUAGAUAACAGUAUUAUGUCCCCUGUACCGUCCCAUCGCUUGGAUCUUGGAGCAGGUCUCUGCAGAUACUUCUCGUUCUGGUA